rnacentral:lncRNA from 1 species
UAAAAAAUAGUGUAACAAUAAGUUUUGUAUUGCUAUGGCAUCUGUGUAUCGUACAUCGAAGUUAGAGUGAUUUUCAGCAAUAAGAAAAUUGACAACAAAUGCAAGCAUUGCGAGAAACUUUUUUUGGAAAGUGCUGUUUAUGAAAAAAGAUAUGAAUUCAUUAUAAACAGAGCAGCAAAUUUAUGGAACACAUUGGGAACACAGCAAAAUUACGGAGUGCAUUGGAAGUUGUCAAGUCAACAAAUGUAAACAG